rnacentral:rRNA from 1 species
GUGCCAGCCGCCGCGGUACUACGGAGGAUCCAAGCGUUAUCCGGAAUCAUUGGGUUUAAAGGGUCCGUAGGCGGGACAAUAAGUCAGCGGUGAAAGUCUGUGGCUCAACCAUAGAAUUGCCAUUGAUACUGUUGUUCUUGAGUGUUUAUGAAGUGGUUAGAAUAUGUAGUGUAGCGGUGAAAUGCUUAGAUAUUACAUGGAAUACCGAUUGCGAAGGCAGAUCACUAAUAAAAUACUGACGCUGAUGGACGAAAGCGUAGGUAGCGAACAGGAUUAGAAACCCUGGUAGUCC